rnacentral:lncRNA from 1 species
UAUGAAAUAGCUGUAAAGAUAAAGAACUUCAAUAUACUGAAGACACCACAUGCAGAUGAAGCAGCUACGAGGGACUGCAGGUCCUUAGAGGGUCGGCACGAGUACAGUCAUACCACAAGAUGCCAUUGAACUGGAAUUUGCAGAAAUUUGGUCCGAGACAAAAAUGAAAGCUAAUCUGGGUGGAGAGGAAUUGAGACGAUUCUUUGCUCUGCCUACAGCUUAUUCGUGGGAACAAGAUGGACUUGACCGUCAACUGUCGAACAUAUUGAACUCACUGAAGGAAUCUCAAGAGAAUUACUUCUUUGGAGUAAGAAAGAACUCGACCGAUGACGGUAAAAUUUUCUUCGAAAUCACACAGACGGCAGUACAACUCAUGUCCAUGUAGUGAUGAUUGUCUCACUUACAUUACUUGAAUUAUUAUUAUUUUUAUUAACCAUUCCUAGUUGAUUUAGUACCAUAAGCUGUUGAAGCCCAGUCUUGUACAGAAGUAAACGUUAAUAGUUUA